UACAGAGGGUGCGAGCGUUGUUCGGAAUUAUUGGGCGUAAAGGCGCGUAGGCGGCGCCACAAGUCACUUGUGAAACUCUGGGCUCAACUCAGAGCCUGCAAGCGAAACUGUGGUGCUGGAGUAUGGGAGAGGUGCGUGGCAAUUCCCGGUGUAGCGGUGAAAUGCGUAGAUAUCGGAGGAACACCAGUGGCGAAGGCGACUUCCUGGCCUGUUCUUGACGCUGAGGCGCGAAAGCUAGGGUAGCAAACGGG
rnacentral:rRNA from 1 species